rnacentral:sRNA from 5 species
AUAUCUCUCCGUACGGGAAGGAUGAGAAGCUUCGACCAGAGUUCGAUUCGAGCGCAGCGAGAAAGCGUUGCCGCAGGCAACGACCCGAAGGGCGAAGCGCGCAGCGCUGAGUCAUCCUUCCCCCACCACCA